UUAGAGUAAUGGCUGCCGCAAUGUCUCUAACAUUUGGACGGGGAGGAGCGCUACUUGGAAACUUAAUAUUCGGAUUUCUUAUUGACUACAAUUGCACUAUUCCACUUAUUCUCUUUUCGGGAAUGUUAUUUUUAUGUGCGUUCUUAUGUUGGCUUUUACCAAAGACUGGAUCGGAAGCACUGGAUUAAACCUACAAUAAUGGAAAAAUCUUCUAUACUAAUCGUGUUAAUAUUAAUUGAGAAUCAAUUAAUAAUCAAAUCAAAUCAAUCAAAUUAAUAAUUUGUAGAAUAAAAUAGUUGUAACUUUUUGCCUAUUGCUGAUAUAUAAAAUGUUGCUACCAUUAAAACGUAUA